AGCGAACGCUGGCGGCAGGCCUAACACAUGCAAGUCGAACGAACUCUUCGGAGUUAGUGGUGGACGGGUGAGUAACACGUGGGAACGUGCCUUUAGGUUCGGAAUAACUCAGGGAAACUUGUGCUAAUACCGAAUGUGCCCUUCGGGGGAAAGAUUUAUCGCCUUUAGAGCGGCCCGCGUCUUAUUAGCUAGUUGGUGAGGUAAAGGCUCACCAAGGCUACGAUCAGUAGCUGGUCUGGGAGGAUGACCAGCCACAGUUGGACUGAGACACGGCCCAAACUCCUACGGGAGGCAGCAGUGGGGAAUCUUGCGCAAUGGGCGAAAGCCUGACGCAGCCAUGCCGCGUGGAUGAUGAAGGUCUUAGGAGUGUAAAAUCCUUUCACCGGUGAAGAUAAUGACUGUAGCCGGAGAAGAAGCCCCGGCUAACUUCGUGCCAGCAGCCGCGGUAACAC
rnacentral:rRNA from 1 species